GUCCCGUUAGCUCAGUUGGAUCCAGAGCGCCGGUCUACGAAACCGGAGGUCGCACGUUCGAGUCGUGCACGGGGCG
rnacentral:tRNA from 1 species